AUUGAACGCUGGCGGCAUGCCUUACACAUGCAAGUCGAACGGCAGCACGGGAGCUUGCUCCUGGUGGCGAGUGGCGAACGGGUGAGUAAUGCAUCGGAACGUACCCCGAAGUGGGGGAUAACGUAGCGAAAGUUACGCUAACACCGCAUAUUCUGUGAGCAGGAAAGAGGGGGAUCGCAAGACCUCUCGCUUUCGGAGCGGCCGAUGUCGGAUUAGCUAGUUGGUGGGGUAAAGGCCUACCAAGGCGACGAUCCGUAGCGGGUCUGAGAGGAUGGUCCGCCACACUGGAACUGAGACACGGUCCAGACUCCUACGGGAGGCAGCAGUGGGGAAUUUUGGACAAUGGGCGAAAGCCUGAUCCAGCCAUGCCGCGUGAGUGAAGAAGGCCUUCGGGUUGUAAAGCUCCUUCGGCUGAAAAGAAAUCGCACAGGCUAAUACCCUGUGUGGAUGACGGUAUCAGCAUAAGAAGCACCGGCUAACUACGUGCCAGCAGCCGCAGUAA
rnacentral:rRNA from 1 species